rnacentral:rRNA from 1 species
GAUGAACGCUGGCGGCGUGCCUAAUACAUGCAAGUCGAGCGAACAGACGAGGAGCUUGCUCCUCUGACGUUAGCGGCGGACGGGUGAGUAACACGUGGAUAACCUACCUAUAAGACUGGGAUAACUUCGGGAAACCGGAGCUAAUACCGGAUAAUAUAUUGAACCGCAUGGUUCAAUAGUGAAAGACGGUUUUGCUGUCACUUAUAGAUGGAUCCGCGCCGCAUUAGCUAGUUGGUAAGGUAACGGCUUACCAAGGCAACGAUGCGUAGCCGACCUGAGAGGGUGAUCGGCCACACGGGAACUGAGACACGGUCCAGACUCCUACGGGAGGCAGCAGUAGGGAAUCUUCCGCAAUGGGCGAAAGCCUGACGGAGCAACGCCGCGUGAGUGAUGAAGGUCUUCGGAUCGUAAAACUCUGUUAUUAGGGAAGAACAAAUGUGUAAGUAACUAUGCAUGUCUUGACGGUACCUAAUCAGAAAGCCACGGCUAACUACGUG